UGGUUACCAAAUGGAAAAAGAUGAACUUC
rnacentral:piRNA from 1 species